ACCGGCGGCUCGAGUGGUGGCCACUUUUACUGGGCUUAAAGCGUUCGUAGCUGGUUUGUUAAGUCUCUGGUGAAAUCUUGCGGCUUAACUGGGGGGCUUGCUGGAGAUACUGUCAGACUUGAGACCGGGAGAGGUGAGAGGUACUCCCGGGGUAGGAGUGAAAUCCUGUAAUCCUGGGGGGACCACCUGUGGCGAAGGCGUCUCACCAGAACGAACCCGACAGUGAGGAACGAAAGCUGGGGGAGCAAACCG
rnacentral:rRNA from 1 species